UCGAUUGAGUCGGCUCAGAACCCUAGCUCGUUCUCUCUCGCGUUCUCCUCUGUCAAGGGAGCCCUAGCAAUCCUUGGAGACAUGUCAGCGAUGUACGGUCAAGGAGGCGACGGUGGUUAUGGCGGCGGCGGUGGAUACGCCGGCGGUGAGGGCGGAUACGGCGGCGGAGGCGGGGCUGGGGGCUACGGCGGCCCUGGAAGCCAUGGUGGCGGUGGCGGAGGAGGGGGCUAUGGGGGAGGCGAUGGAGGUUAUGGUGGCGGGGGUCGGGGAGGUGGUGGUUAUGGUGGCGGAGGGCGCGGUGGGGGCGGAGGCGGUAGGGGAGGCGGUGGUGGCGGUGGUGGAGGAUAUGGAGGGAAUCGAGGAGAUCGUGGCGGCCGAGGCGGUGGCGGCAGAGGAGGGGGCCGAGGAGGUAGCGGCCGAGACGGCGAUUGGCUGUGUCCUAACCCCAGCUGUGGGAAUCUGAACUUUGCCAGAAGAGUCGAGUGCAACAAAUGUGGAGCACCCAGUCCCACUGGUUCUGGUGAGCGCGGUAAUGGUAAUGACCGGGGAGGUGGUGGUUAUAACAGAGGAGGUAGUGGUGGAGGAUACAGUGGAAAUCGAGGGGGCCGAAGUGGAAAUUACGAGGGUGGUAGAGGUGGUAGCUAUGAUGGAAGAAGUGCUGGUGGUGAUAGAGGUAGUUCUUAUGGAGGUAAUCAAGGGAGAGACGAUGGCGGUUACGGCCAGGUUCCUCCACCUGCACCCCCAUCUUAUGGUGGCGCUGGUACAGAUCUUUUGCCUCCUGCAAAUGCUUAUGGGGGAAAUGUUAAUUAUGGUACUGAGGCUGUUCCUCCUCCAUCAAGCUAUGGUGGGGGGCCAACAUCAUACCCUCCGAUGUAUAGUGGCACACCCGGUGGUUAUGGUGGUGGUGGUGAUGUUGGAGAUGCAAGGACCGGAGGCCGGAGGGGUCCACCCUCUGGGUAUGAUGGAGGCUAUGGCAGUGGCGCUCCACGGCACCAUGGGAGUGGUUAUGGAGGUGGUGGAACUGUUGCCACUGAUGUCUCUCCUGCUAAGGUGAAGCAGUGCGAUGAGAACUGUGGGGAUACUUGUGACAACUCAAGGAUUUACAUAUCAAAUUUGCCACCAGAUGUGACCACUGAUGAACUGAGGGACCUCUUUGGAGGCAUUGGUCAAGUUGGAAGAAUCAAGCAGAAACGAGGCUACAAGGACCAGUGGCCAUAUAAUAUAAAAAUCUACACUGACGAGGAAGGGAAAAACAAAGGGGAUGCUGUGUUGUCUUAUGAAGAUCCAUCUGCUGCACAUUCUGCUGGCGGUUUCUUCAACAAUUAUGAAAUGAGGGGAUACACAAUAAAUGUUGCAAUGGCGGAGAGGUCAGCUCCAAAAGCUCCACCUGCAUAUGAUCGUGGGGGUGGUAGAGGUGGCUAUGGUGGUGGUGGUGGGGAUAGACGCAACAGAGAUGGCGGAGGUUCUGGGCCAGAUAGACAUUAUCAUGGUGGAAAUCGUUCACGUCCUUACUGAUUAUACUUCAGCAUGGGAGAUAUUAUGUAUACUAGAAAUUGUGGUUCGAGAGUUUAGUUGUGUGUUGCGUUGGCUGGAUUGUUCUUUGACUGGAGACUAAGAGAGGCAAGUGGAAUAGUCCCCAAUUGCUUGCUGCUAAGGUAGGUAGUGUCUUCAGGGAUGGGGAUCUUUUUUGGGUCACUUGCGGAAUAUUUAAAGGCAGACCCAUAUUUCAGGGGGUACACAGAAAUUUUGUUUUUCUGCUUUUCGAAGGAUGUGACUGGCUGUGAAAAGCGGUAGGCGAUGAUCAUUGUAUAUCAAUAGGCUUGUUGAGAACGGCCAUGAAUCAAUUGGGGGCCAGGACAGGGGCAUCCAUGGUCGUGGGAUUCCAGAAACCGCCGACUUUUGAUGGAUGCCUUGAAUGUACCAAGCCAAGCUAAUAGGUCUUUAUCCUGGGGACUAGCAUACUGGUUCUUAACCUUCUCCACUAAGAAACUCGGUGGAUUGAUGAUGCAUUAAGUUUUCUGCCAUGCACGAGGCUUCUUGGUUUUUUCUUUUGGGCGGCACCAUUUUGAGCAGUUUGCUGCAGGAGUCAAAAUUUCCAUGCUGGUUCUCUGGAAUGGCAGAUAGGAUGUCUCAAAUAUUGUAAAGACAAUGAAUAAGCGGGUCUAGUUCCAUUUAUUUGUAAUUUCAAGCUAGAGGUUUCGUGGCAUCGAAGUUCAAAGGGAAAUCAGUCUUAUUUCAA